CAGUAUUGUGGGAUGUGGCUCCGGAAAGAAUGAAAACCAGAAAAGUUUGUCUUUGCACCGGUUACCAAGAAGUGAAAAUAGAAAAGGAAAAUGGUUAGAAGCAAUUGAAACUGAAAAUAUCAAGCCAAAUGUAAAGGAUAUAUCAUAGUAUGUUCCCUACAUUUCCCCGAAAGUGCUUUCAAUAGAACAAUGGAUGUGAUUAGUCUGCACGAUGAUGCUAUACCAGUAUGUUUGCCGCUGCAUUCACACAGGGUACCGGUUGAGCCUCAAAUCCCGAACUCAAAAAUGAACAGAGUGAAUCCGAGUGCAUCACAGGCUGCACGAAAUAGUUUAGUUCUAUAAUUUUCUCUGUUAUUAAGUAAUUAUUGUUUUUUUUUUCUAUUACCUACUGUAUAUUGUGUUGUUCAUCGUAAUAAAAAACUAUUAUAUACCUA